CACUCAGCCUCUGCUCCUACGUAGAAGGAAAUCAAUCUAUGUACAAGAACUAUGUACAAAAAAAAAAAGCUCUUCCAUUCAUUCUUCCAGGUCUGUGAAUAAAGCUCUUGUAAACUUAAAAAAAACAAACGGGGGAGUGUGUGUGUGUGUGUGUGUGUGUGUGUGUGUGUGUGUGUGUGUGUGUGUGUGUGUGACACAUUAACUGGAUGUUUGAUGACACGCGUCGAACUUUUACAACCGAUGAACU